rnacentral:rRNA from 1 species
UACGUAGGGGGCGAGCGUUGUCCGGAUUUAUUGGGCGUAAAGAGCUCGUAGGCGGUUUGGUAGGUUGGAUGUGAAAUCUCCAGGCUCAACUUGGAGGGGUCAUUCGAUACUGCCAUGACUAGAGUUCGGUAGGGGAGUGUGGAAUUCCUGGUGGAGCGGUGAAAUGCGCAGAUAUCAGGAGGAACACCCGUAGCGAAGGCGGCACUCUGGGCCGGAACUGACGCUGAGGAGCGAAAGCGUGGGGAGCGAACAGG